AUGGAAACUAACACAAACAUAAGAAAGGUCAUCACGAGCAGCAGCAAAUUAAAGAAGAAUAGAGAUGGGAUGAACGCCAAGCAUCAGGACGCCAAGCUCUCCGAGCAAACAGCCGCAUUCCCUAUCGAGGACCUCAUCAUGCCUGCCGGAGCAGCCCACCCGGCACACAGCAGAGGGGCGGCGGGGCAGGAACGGGGAAGCUCUGGCCUCACGAAUCUAACCACCAAAUUAAUGGGGAAAAAGGCAGCACCUAAUUCUACAAUAAUCACAUCGUCAGCAAUUGCAUGUGAUGCUAUAGCCACAAGAUCCAUUGUAGAUAGACAGGGCCAUGGGUCACAUAUUUCUCACCUAGGAAGUGGAUCAUCGAUCGCGUGCAAAAUGCACCACCCGGAUGUCGAGGCACUCGUAGGAGCAGAGCAUGGUGAUGCCAACGUCAGAGUAGAGGACCCGGAGUCCCUGAGGACGAGGUGCUGCUGCUGCUCUGCUGUGGAGAGUUGGGCUGGCCUCCCUACGACGCCGUCGUCCACUCGUCGAGCUCCGGACGCGUGUGGUGCGAACGAGGCAGUCCCUCCUCGGUCGGAUCCCGUCCACCUCCGGCUGGUGGUGGUGCGGGGAAGAGAGCAUCACGAUGGGAGGGAGAGCUUGCAGGAGAGGAGAGAAAGAGAGGGGCCGAAGGAGGGACACGGCGUAUCGCACAAGGACGGGGCACACGGCGACGGGCAGAUGGCGUGCGUGGCCACCGCACGCCGUCCAGUUGGGGAGGUUGGUCGUCGUCGAAGUGGAGCGCCAAGGCUAGCACCAGUGAGAGGAAGGUGGAGGUGGGGGAGAUCAGUUGCCAGCUAG
rnacentral:rRNA from 1 species